CCUACUAGAGAUCAGAAAAGGUAUAUAAUGAGAGAUCUCCAUUAGUGAGCAUGCCACCAGCCACAGGUGGCCCACUGCCACCAGAGCUGGCCACGGGCCCACUUCCAGCUGCUACUAAUGAUGGAGCCAAAACCCUCACUGCUAGCCAUCACCCCCCUCCAGAUCUGGUACAGAGCCCAGAAAAGGAAGCCUUAGGUGUGAGUGACGCCUCAGUGAACACAUACACGUCAGCAAUGGACCAGCUGCUGCCAAGUCACACAACUAUGCAACACGUUGCUCACACAGAAACGCCAAUGGUCACCAGCAGAGUGCAAACAUUACUAUGACAAUGGAGCAGAGGCCCAGGGCGGCACUGAGCCUUGGUAAGAGCCGACGGAAGUGGCAGGUCACAAGCCCAGUUGCUGAGAGGAGAACUGCAAUGCAGCAACACUUAUAUGCCACUUAAUUUGGGUCAUGUACUAGUGUGGAUGCUUUAUUUAUUCAUUUAACUUUCACCACAUUUAACUUCACCAACUCUAUAUGCUGUAAGGAUUUUUAUUAUCUCCCUUAUAAACAAUCUGAGGCACAGAGAGGUUACAUAACUUGCCCAAGGUCACACAGAAACAACUGGUAGAACCAGGAUCAAAAUGAAGAUAAUCUGGCUCAGGAGUCCCUUACUU